rnacentral:rRNA from 1 species
AACGCUGGCGGCGUGCUUAACACAUGCAAGUCGAACGGAAAGGCCCUGCUUUUGUGGGGUGCUCGAGUGGCGAACGGGUGAGUAACACGUGAGUAACCUGCCCUUGACUUUGGGAUAACUUCAGGAAACUGGGGCUAAUACCGGAUAGGAGCUCCUGCUGCAUGGUGGGGGUUGGAAAGUUUCGGCGGUUGGGGAUGGACUCGCGGCUUAUCAGCUUGUUGGUGGGGUAGUGGCUUACCAAGGCUUUGACGGGUAGCCGGCCUGAGAGGGUGACCGGCCACAUUGGGACUGAGAUACGGCCCAGACUCCUACGGGAGGCAGCAGUGGGGAAUAUUGCACAAUGGGCGGAAGCCUGAUGCAGCAACGCCGCGUGCGGGAUGACGGCCUUCGGGUUGUAAACCGCUUUCGCCUGUGACGAAGCGUGAGUGACGGUAAUGGGUAAAGAAGCACCGGCUAACUACGUGCCAGCAGCCGCGGUGAUACGUAGGGUGCGAGCGUUGUCC